rnacentral:lncRNA from 1 species
CUUAGAGGAAACCACCUCGUGAUCACCCGCAUGGAAUCUCGGGCUGAGCAAUGUGGUUUGCAGAUCCCGGAGCAGGAGCCUGUGAAAUCUGGGAAGCAGGCGUGUGCUGUGUGCAGAGGCAUUCCAAUAAUAGUUUCAGAUGCAGAGGACGGAAGUUUAUCAAGAUGAGAGUCUGCUGAGCCCAGCGCUGCGGUUCUGAGAAGCGAGAGUCAGCUGCCUUCUCCGAUGGGGCCUCCACAGCUUCAGAGUUCAUGCAGUUGUCUGUCUGCAAGAACGGCUGGAGGGGAAGAAUCCUGGGUUGGAGGGCGCAGCACUCUUGCUGAGACCCUGGCCCUCAGUAAAAGGGCAUCUUGAUCUCUAAAGGAGCUGUUUCUGCCAAAGGAGGGUGUCACUUGGGAAAACCACACUGUGUGACCUGACUCCCAACCACAGACGCUUCUACAUAGAAGUAUUCAGAUAAUGGGUGGCAUUGAAGGAGAAAGCCAUGGAGAGCCACAUGCAGCCUCCAGGCUGGAGACUGGAGAAUGCUUACAACUAAAGAAAGAAGCUCUAACAGAUGUCUCAGCAGUCAGACAAUGGUGUACUGGAGAGCUUUAUGUCCAUUUUGUGCCAGAGAAAGCUGAGGCUUCAUGGAAGAAGAUAAUGACCUGAAGCCCAUGUAGCUGUCCAGAGCUGAAAUCAAUGCCAAGCAAGCUCAAAGGUUUGGGCCUCAUGAUUAGACACCCCACUUCGCUUUGCUUACCUGCCAAAUCCUGUAAGUGUGAGCUACACUUCGUGUUUGUUUCCCAUAAAUACAUCCUUAUUGAUAAUGUCAAUAAAGUAAAUUUCA